UCAGUUAUCGCGUAUAAGUGCUCUAAGUUCUAUCAGUGUUAAGUACUCUCAUUGACCGCGUUUUAGUUUGUCUCUGUGAUGCGUGUUAAGUUCUGUCAAUGGUCGCGUCCUUAUUUUUCUCAAUAAUCGGGUAUAAGUUCUCUGUGUUCUCUCAUUGUUGAGUUCUCUCAAUGAUCGCGUCUUAAUUUCUCUCAUUAAUCGCCUAUAAGUUCUCUAUGUUCUCUCAUUGUUCAGUUCUCUCAGUGGUCGUGUAUGUUUUCUUUGUUCUCUUCGUGUUAAGUUAUCUCAAUGAUCGCGAAAAUAAGUUCUCUAAGUUCUCUCAGUAUUUAGUUCUCUUAAUGAUCGCGUCUUAAGUUCUCUCAGUUAUCGUGUAUAAGUGCGCUAAGUUCUCUAAGUGUUACGUUCUCUCAUUGACCAUGUGUUAAUUUGUUUCUGUAAUCGCGUGUUAAGUUCUUACUAAGUUCUAACCAAAUUUCUCUCAAUAAUCGCGUAUAAGUUCUCUAUCUUCUCUCAUUGUUCUGUUCUCUCAGUGGUGACGUAUAAGUUUUCUUUGUUCUCUUCGUGUUAAGUUAUCUCAAUGAUCGCGUAUAAGUACUCUGUGUUCUCUAAUUGUUCAGUUCUCUCAAUGAUCGCGUCUUAAUUUCUCUCAUUAAUCGCGCAUAAGUUCUCUCAUUAACUGCGUUUUAAUUUGUCUCUGUGAUCGCGUGUUAAGUUCUGUCAGUGAUCGUGUCCUAAUUUCUCUCAAUAAUCGCGUAUAAGUUCUCUAUGUUCUCUCAUUGUUCUGUUCUCUCAGUGGUGGCGUAUAAGUUUUCUUUGUUCUCUUCGUGUUAAGUUAUCUAAAUGAUCACGUAUAAGUUCUCUAUGUUCUCUAAUUGUUCAGUUCUCUCAAUGAUCGCUUCUUAAUUUCUCUCAAUAAUCGUGAAUAAGUUCUCUACGUUCUCUCAUUGUUCUGUUCUCUCAGUGGUCGCAUAUAAGUUUUCUUUCUUCUCUUCGUGUCAAGUUCUCUCAAUGAUCGCGUAUAAGUUCUCUAAAUUCUCUCAGUGUUAAGUUCUCUUAAUGA